AGAGAGGUCCAAGUCUGAGAUUUUUUUCUUUUUUUUUUUAUUUUAUUUAUUUAUUUAUUUAAUUAUUUAUUUAAUUAUUAUUUUUUUGUUUUUUUGUUUUUUUUUUGUUUUUUUUUUCCGUUUUUUUUUGUUUUUUUUUUGUUUUAAUUUUUUUUUAAAUAAAGUUUGUUGGAUCUGAUUCUGAUUGACAUGAUGAAAUGCAGUAUGAAAUGUUAAAUGACCUAAAAA
rnacentral:lncRNA from 1 species